CUGCUCUUUGCUUAAAAUUUUCAUCAGGUGGGUGCUUGGGUGGGACUGUCUAUCAUGACCCAGUGUGUGCCAGGGUUCGUUCAAAUGACCAUCUGGGCCAAAGGAAAACACAAAACUUGGUUUAAGGACUACCCAAACCUCGGCAUCCUCCGACAUUCAUAUAAACUAAUUUCAGGUCAAACUCUAGAGAUAUUAUGAUUUCAGCUGAGAGAACUAGGACACAUCUGAACAGCUGCAUGUAAAUGAGGCUGAUUUAUGACACCCUCUGGGAAGGAUUAUGAAGUUAAAUCCGCUUUUCAACAAUAUCUGACGGUUAUCAUGCAAGAUGAUGUCUAACAUUGUUGUAUUUACAAUGGUAUGCCACUUGGGAAUUUAAAUAAGCAGAUUUGUAGGAAUUUGUGUUGACACAACAUAUUUCUGUUGGUUAAAUCAUUUCCACAACUAUCCAUGUGCAAAAUACACUACUCUACCUCUGUAAUACAACUACUUCAGCAUGAAAGAAAAUAAUUUUUCUUAAACAGAGGAAGACACUGGGUUACAUUGAACUUUUAGGGUCAAAUAAAAAUAAUUUGUUUUACUUGAAAUCUAAAUAACUGGUACAAAUGGUUAUAAAAUAAUCUUGAGUGAUACCAUUUAUAUUUUUUAGACUGUAUUGAUGAUGGUAAUACUGUAGUAUUCAUUCUUGACAAGGUGGACAGUGAGCAAUAACAUUUUUAAUAGUAUUAUUAUUACAAGAAAGAAAAAAUCAGCUUUGUACAAUUCCUUUCUACAAGCCAUUAACAAUUAACAUUUGUUUAAUUACAACAUUUGUUUGCUACACUUUUCUAACUUGGCAAGAAUUAUUAAAGCUGUGACUUGCAAUGCAUCACAAUGCAAUAUGCAUUUCAAUAGGAAUAGCCUUUGCAAUAAAAUCUAUUGCAUCAUCUGAUUUGUUUUUUAAAAAAAUUAUUUGUAAAAAAAAAAAAAAAAUGAAAAGUGACAUUGACAUAAUAAAGUGCUACAGUAUUCAUAAGACUAACUUAGUCCAGUUCUGUCUGUAUUUUGUUGUGGUUUGGUUGCAUUUCU